UGUACACAUUUACUGCAGCUUUAUUUACCCUAUGCAGUAUUGAUAUGCAGAUAUUCAAACAACAGCUAAUGAGUGCUGUCAGAUAAAUAAUGUCUGUGGAUGCUGCGGUUCUCCACUCACCCUCAAUAGAAAUAACGUGUUCGCGAAUUUGGUUCUGCAAACCCAGAUCAUCGAUGCGUUCAAUCAGAUCGUAGAUGGCGUAGAUGUUGGGGUGCACGGAUUCAAAACGUUGUAUCUCAGCGCGAAUUGCGGCAGAAUUGGACAGCACGAACUGAGGGGGACCUGGGGGAGGAGGCGCUGAACCCCCGGAUACCUGCACAGAUCCCGAACCAAACGAUGGAACCCCUGAGCUCCCUGGGGUGGGCAGUGACUGCUGCUGAGGGCCAGGCACAGACUGCUGGAAGUUCAUGGCUUGGCUGGGGGGGUUCUCCGGUCACUGGUGAGCGAGUGCUAUCUGAUGGGGUCCCAGCUCUAGCAGUCUCUGUGUGCCAAUAUUUGCACCACACAAGGCAGCGGUAGCAGCUACCCUGACGAGUGUCACACAAAGCGCUUCAUGCUGCUACUGCUCAACUGCCUGCGCGCGCCACACUCCCGUUAUACCUGCCCCUAGUCCAACUGGGAAAUGUAUUAUAAAUUGUACCCCAAGGAUCAAAGGACUCUCUUUUGUCCUGACACAGUCUAUAAACAAACGGAUUUCUUAAUUCAGGAACAGCAGCUACUCUCUUAUUUAAAAAACAGAGUAUUCAACCGUUCUUUUCUGCUUCUUUCAACCACUUCGUACUCGCCCGCACUCCGACUUCUCAAAUAACAUGAACAAACCUUCCCUCGUCUCCAACGACCACCCUAGCUCAUUAGGCAGCAGAGGCGGGGUUACAAGAUACGUACACAUUAUAACGUGAUCGCGCCAGUAGUUGGUUCUCCUCGACGUAAGCAGUGCUGAAGCGAGCUAGCCUACUCUGUGAGAGAACUGUACAUUAACAUACAAUGCAAAAACGCUCGCCACUUUACACUCGCCCGCAUACUCCGGAGAAGUGACGCAGUAUGUCCUUAUUUGGCAAUGACUUCCGGUGAUAAGUGCCAGGCAGCAGAGGUGGAGGAGCAGAGUGAAAAAGUACAACAAGCAAGACUGAAGAUACAUGACCAGAGUGACUCAUUAUUUCACAAUGUUUUUUAAAUGUCCUUCAAGAUAUUCAAAUAUAAUGUUGCUAUUUUAAUUAUU